AUUGAACGCUGGCGGCAUGCCUUACACAUGCAAGUCGAACGGCAGCACGGGAGCAAUCCUGGUGGCGAGUGGCGAACGGGUGAGUAAUAUAUCGGAACGUGCCCAGUCGUGGGGGAUAACGUAGCGAAAGCUACGCUAAUACCGCAUACGAUCUAUGGAUGAAAGCGGGGGAUCGCAAGACCUCGCGCGAUUGGAGCGGCCGAUAUCAAAUUAGGUAGUUGGUGAGGUAAAGGCUCACCAAGCCGACGAUCUGUAGCUGGUCUGAGAGGACGGCCAGCCACACUGGAACUGAGACACGGUCCAGACUCCUACGGGAGGCAGCAGUGGGGAAUUUUUGGACAAUGGGCGCAAGCCUGAUCCAGCAAUGCCGCGUGAGUG
rnacentral:rRNA from 1 species